CCCAUUUUAAACCUGAGAACACCAAAGCAUAAGAGAAGACCAGGUAAUGUUAAAGAGGACAGAAGAAUGGCUCUAGCUUAACAUUGGAAGGGACUUUGAGCAAGAACAAAUAUAAUAGGGCAACGAUUUUCCCAUUGUUUCCAUACAAAGUACUCUAAUAAGAGUUUAACUCAGAUGAAGUAAUCAUCACCAUCAUCAUCAUCCUGGAUUUUUGAACAUCUGGCACUAGAGGGUUUUAUUUAUGAAUAUCUGUAAUGGUUAUGUGUCAACUUGAAUGGCCAUGGGGUGCCCAGAUUAAACACUAUUUCUGGGUGUGUCUGUGAAGGUUUCUGGAUGAGAUUAGCAUUUGAACUGAUGGAUUCAGUAAGGUAGAACCCCCUUCCCAGUGUGGGUGGGCGUCAUCCAAUACACUGAGGGCCUGCCUAGAGCAAGAGCCAGAGGAAGGAAGAAUUUGCCCUCCUCCACCCCCCCCCCCCCUUUUUCUUUCCUGCCUCACUGAUGGAGCUAAGAUAUCUCAUCUCCUCUCUGUCCAUGGACUGAAACUUACAACAUCAGAGUUCCUGGUUCUUGGGCCUUUGGACUCAAACUGAAUUACACCACCAGCUAUCCUGGGUUUCCAGCUUGCAGACAGCAGAUCAUGGGGCUUUUCAGCCUCCAUAGUUGUGAGCCAAUUCCUAUAGAAAAAUCUCAUAAAAUAUAUCUGAUAUAUAGAUGAAUCUGUUAUUUCCUUGUGACUGCAAAGCAUCGUCUGAUUUUGUUGAGGAAGAUGUCUCUAUCCCUAAAGGUCAAUUAAGGUAGAUUAAAUCUACCUAAAGGUAGAUUAAUGGCUAACAGUCACGUUUCUGGUAUGAGAACUCUAAGGACCAACUUGGUCUUUAGACUCUAAUAAAAUGUGGUCUAAAGAUGUCAUUUCUUUCUCACUCUUCUGAUUAACUGCUCAUAUGGAUAGCUGAUUACUACAUUGUCUGAAAAAUUAAUCAGCAGCCAGUUAAACAAUACCUCUGAUUUGGUUUAGGAGCACUUGGCCAAGAAUGAGGAAAAAAAUGUGUCAAAUACCUACUGGUAACCAAACCUCCAUGGUCACUGCUGAAAUAUCAUCAGAGAUUGUUUUGACAUUGUCCCAAAAAUCAGAUACCUGGAACUUAAGGAAAUGAGGUUAUUUAAUCUAGCAAGUUCUGUAUCAUGUUCCCAAACAGAGUUGGUAUGUUGUAUUCUGUGGCAAGAAGUCUCCUGCAGGACUGGAUCAUGCCUGGGGGCAGAUUGUGUGAGAAAAUUCAGAUAAAAAGAAUGAGGUGAAUAUAUAGCAAUUUCUUUUUUAGCUGUUUCAGUGACAGCACAAUUCUCCUAGGCAGAUCAUGGCUUGCCUCCUGUUUUAGUUAUAAAUUGCUAUGUAUAGAAACAAUCCAAAAUUUAUUAGCAUAAAACAACUAUUAUUUCUCAGAAGACUUUGGGUUGUCUAGCAUGUUCUGCUGUCUCUGCACCACCCCUCUUAGGUUACUUAUGAGUCUCCUCUGACCUAGUGGGUCUGUUGAGGACUGGACUCAGCUAUCGUGCCAGGAUGGCUACAUAUGUCUCUCAUUGUGGUCCCAACAUCUUUCUUUACACAUGUUCACUCAUCACUCAGGAGCCUCAACAAGACAUCUAACAUAGUGGCUAGGUUGUAAAACGUAGUAUUCUAAAAUAAUUAGGACUCUAGAUGUUCAGCUUGCAUCACACAUUAUAAAUGUCCCAUUGGCAACAGUCAACAUGGAAGGAAAUUACACAGGGUGUGAAUAGAAGGAAGAAUGGUUCACGGUAGGCCCCCUUACACCAAUCUAACAUACCUCCUGAGUGGCAGCUCUCUGGACCUUGAGCCCGAUACUAAAUCUUUUUGGCAUCAGUUUCCUUUUUAUGUAGCAUAGGUUUAAAAAUAGCACCUAUUUCAGUGACAUACAAAUUAUGUGGGUUAGUAGGUGUAGUAUUUGGAAUGGUGCCUGAAACACAGUAAGAGCUGUAAAAGGUUUUGUCCUUACUAUCAUCAUCAUUAUCAUCAUUGCUAUUGUUGUUGCUGAACUUUUUGUGCAAUAUUUUUACCCUGUUAUAGUGUUAUACAUUAGUUCAUCUAUAGGGUCUCCAACCCCUGAGACAUAAUUCUAUCUUGAAAGAUAUGACUGUCUAAAGAAGAUGGCACACAAAAAUACAGAAUUCUAAUACAAGAUGAUUUAAGAAGGAUUAGAAAAAGGUGCUUUAAGGAGCAAAGGUACAUUUUCUCAACUUCCCCUAUUUAAAAUUUUACAACUGUCACAAACUAAUGCACAUUUAUGUCAUGCAAUAGUUUCACACACAAGCAUAGAAAUCAAUUCUAAAUGUGUCUAAACAACCAUACCAAUAUUAAGUUAAUUAUCAAUACCUUUACCCCUUCAUUUAACAUGUCAGAUUUCUCAUGGUUCAUAGUUCAACAUUUCAAUGUAUUGGAAUGAAGUCUCACUCUCAUUCUGAGUAAAGGUCUAAACUAAGAAACCAGAGAUGACAGUGCCCCCGAUCUCUAAGCAAUUUGAUUGUAUCAGUGCUGUUAAAAUCUUCCUACCGUGUCCUGGGAACAAUUCUUAUAAUGUGACACAGGGUCUGGCCUACAUAGAAGGAAAUGCUGAAAAUAAGAGUGAACAUUUAUUCAACCUUGUCAUGUGCAGGCUUUAUCCUCAGUUCUACAUGUGAUUCUUAUUGAGAACUCUCUGCCUGGAAUGUGGUCUUUUUUUUUUUUUUUCCAGCUGAUUGUGGUUCAUUUUACUGGUGUUCACAGAUCUUCACUCUCCUAUCCCUAUCGUGGGUAUGCAUUCUCACCCCAGUGUACUCAUGUUGGGUUCAGCCCUGUGAGAUUCUUCAGCCAAUGGAAUGUGAGUGAACACAGCACACACCUCAUCCCAAGUAGAAGGUGGAAAGUGAAACAGGAAUAACACAAACGAAGAUAUACAAAUGACCAGUAACCACAUAACCACGGGAAAAAUGCUUAACAUCAUUAGUAAUCAUGGAAAUGUAAAUUAAAAGUACAAUGAGACAUAAAUAGAAAUCUAUUCGAAUGGCUAAAAAAAAGAGAAAACAAACCAAACCAAACAAAACAAAAAACAACCUUAUAAUUGGAGCACCUGGAUGGCUCACUCAGGAUGAAUCUCUCCUAUGACUAAAUUGGCCAUGCUCUCCAUUGUCGCUGAAAUCACAGAAUGUGACCGUAUUUGAAAUAAUGGUCUCUGCAGAUGGGAUUAAGUGCCUGCUGCUACUAAGAUAUUGAAUAGAUUUGCCCAACGAAUGAAUGGAGUGGAAUGAGUUUUUAUGGACAAUACCUGCUGGUCAAGGACUUUGCCAGUAGGAGACGGCCGUUGUAACUAAUUGAACCUGCUAGAAGAAAAAUAAUUUGUUUAGGAUAUUGUCCUGUUUUUGACUUCUGAGCCUUUGUGAAUAUACUAUAAUAAUAAGCAAACAAACACAAAACCACAAAAACUCAGCCAUAUCUUGUUUGUUGAUGAUAUGCUACUGAGCCAGGAUCUACUCACAUUUGAGAUGGUGCCAGAAUUCUUAGUUUUUUUUUGGGGGGGGGUCAAAAAUGUAUUUAAGAAGGGUCAAAGCUACCUCUAAAACCAUAUCUUCAUGAUCCUACUUAGACUCUAGUCAGGUGUCUCUGAUAUCUUAAAUUUAUCGACUUUGUGCACACCAUUU